GAGAGAGAGAGAGAGAGAGAGAGAGAGAGAGAGAGAGAGAGAGAGAGAGAGAGAGAGAGAGAGAGAGAGAGAGAGAGAGAGAGAGAACUAAAUUACCAAACAUGUUCUCUAAGUGAAGCAUUAGUAUGCAUAGCUGUCUUUGUGAUGCCUCACUUCCUGUGACAGCAUCCCCAAUUGGUUGGCUAUUUUUAAUUUCAUACUAUAGACUUUUGUUGUGAGACUGAACUGGGAACAGUGGAUGCACUGGUGUUUGAUAUUUAUUGUAAUUCUGAAGGUCUCUUUAAUUAAUAUAUGGAAGUAUACUGUGUUGCUAAUCCUUGUAACUGCAUCCCCAGCAGUGCAUUGUGUGCACCAGCACUCUCACUUCAGCAUGCUGAUGCUCCACACUCACCCAUACUUGUGGUCUCAGACUACACUAGGAUAGAUCUUGUCAUCUAAGAAUUUUUUGAUAAUUGUAAUUUUGCAUUAGAGCUAUCAACUUGAAUAGCUUCACUCGCUGUUCUUUUACACUCAAAGCAGUUUAGUGACUUCCUUCCUUUUGUUUAUUUUAGUCAAUGGGAAGUAUUCUAACACUAGUCUUUGGAAAUUAAUUUUAGAAUAUUGUCUGCUUAUUUCGUUGUUGUGUAAACUUACUAUGAAAUAAUACUGAAGAUAACUUUACCUCAGUGGCAGCAGUGUGUGCCACACUCCUGUGAUGGAGUGUGUACCCAGCAGGGACUGCCACACCUGCUGGCUCACUGGUCACACCUGCAGGCCAUGCUGGGUUACUUUCACAGUAACUUUCAUGCUUACUUGCUUGAGUGUCAUUAUUAUCUUGUUAUAAUGAACUUAGUUGCAAAACUGAUGCUUUCUAUGAAAGUAUCAAUUAUGUAAUUUCUGUUCAAAGUACAAGUUGUACUCUAUCAGCAAUUUGUCUAGCUGAGUACUUAAGUGAACCAUGAAAUUUGUGUUGCUGAAUGAAUUUAUUGAAAAUGUUUUUUGAUUAACUUAAGUUUUAUCAAGUUUGUAAAUUUCUAUUGAAAACUAUUGUAUAAAAUCAAAAGCAAGGCAAAAUAUGAGCAAGUUCAUUGCUUUUGUCUAAAUAACUUCUUUUAUAGAGUUGUUAAUGCCCACCUGAAAGGUAAUAAUGUCAGUGUAUUUUAAGAGUUACUGAUUCCUUUUUUAAGAGUAACAGUGGUCAAGUGUAUUUUUAUGUCGCAACUCCAGAAACUCCUCUAAGCUGGGUGCUGGUGAAUCUGCCCAGCAGAGUGAGGGAUUUGGCUUGCACAGGUACAAGUCAGGUACAACACCCCUUCAUUGUUGAUUUGUUACACACUUCUCACUUCUAUAACUUUGAUUGUUGUGAUUUUACAGUAUUAAUGUUUUCAGGUUGUUUAUAGUAUUUUGUCAGUGAACAAUGAUGUAGAACUUCUAUGAGUAGUACUUUGUGCUGUGGGAACUGGACUGCAUAAACAUAGGCAGAGAAGUCUUCCUUAACUGUGCUUAAAACAUACGAGUUCAAAUUUUCUCUAGUCAUAAGAAUAUAUUCAGUGUAUUACUAAAAUCAAUUUAUUAGUAUUUUCCACUGGUGUUGAUGCAAACCUUUAGUUGGAAAAAUAAGUAUUUUGUGUUCACUUUUUAAGUACCAUGAGAAAUUAAGCUAAUCUGUUAUUUGUAUAGUGACUAAGAUCAUGAAAUCAGAAGUAAGUUUUGUCCAUGUUUUUUGCACCAGACCAGUUUGUACAGCAAUAUACCUCUUUUUUUCAAAUUGCUACAUCCAGCACUGCAGCUAUUGUAGUACACUAUCAGGUUUGAUGCAUUUGCUGUUGCAGCAGUGCAUUAGAACAUUGUCAGGUAUCCUCAGUGAUGCGCAGGAAGGUUGCUUUUGAUGAACACUUCCAGUCCUUACAGUCAGUAAAUUGCAGUGUUAUAACUUUCCUUAACUCGUUUUUACCAUUCACAUCUUGAAACUAAUAAUCAUGAAAGGUUGGAAUCACUCCCCUGAUGCAAUGUGAGUAUCAUAAGACACUGUUCAGCAUUGGACUUAAUUGAAGAGACACUGCUGGUUGAAAGUGAAACCCAUUGAAUAACAUGACAAUAACAAUAUUGCAGAUCAAAGAGUACUGGAACAGAGUAUAUGCUAACAAACUUCUUUGGGUGACUUCCAAUUCAUGCUGAAAUCACACUUAUUCAUUGCAUAUCAGACCACACAUUGAAAUGGUAGAGAGAAUUCAUGCAUACCUCAAAUUUGCUACUCAAGACCAGCAGUGAGUGACAUAACUGACCGCACUUACUCAACCUACAGUAAGGAUGCUGGACAUUAUCUAAUGUAUUCAGUUACUUUACAUUUACACUCAAAUUCCUACACAUCAGGCCUAAACUGUAGUUCUGUAAGUGUUUAGAAAAGGUAUUACAUACUAGUUCCCUGCAAAAUAGCCCAUGUUACACAGUACAUAUAGUUUAAUCUCAGUGGAAUGAUAGAUACUGUAAUUUCAUUGUUGUUGUUUAUCCGCUGUUUUUGAAGCACCAAGUCCCUCACUCGGCCAGACCACCCACCAGCUAGUUUGACAAUCCAUGUCCCACCACCACCUGGCAGAUGAUACAACCACAGGGAAGGGAGCAGUGCACCACCUCAGUAUGCAAGUUUUUAUGCCUUAUCUUCAUAGUGUAAUGCACUGUGUUUAGUGAUUUUAAAAAAUUCAUUAUGUAGUUGGUAAUAUUACAGUGAGCAGCAAGAAACUUGUGUGGUGCUGCCUCCCUCACCCCUGGUGGUCAUCUCCAUCAUGUCCAUAGACCAAAGUUGUUUACACUUGUACAGUCAGUUUGCAUUGCCAAGUUUUCUUUCCUUCAUUCUUCAGAUGUCAUGUUUGGCUGUAUUUUUGAUGUCUCAAAAAUUGUGUACAGUAAUUCAAUGGAUGUAUGUCACAAACAAAUGAUGCAUAAUUAGGUUUAGUGGUAAAACAAGGACUUCUAUGAUAAAUGUGUUCAGUUUUGCAAUAAAAUUGAUGUAAAUGGUAAUAUUAAAUAUUUCAGCAUUACAGAAAACAAAAAUAUUACAUUUCAUAAAUAGUUAGCACGUUUUACCUUUGUUUUAGAACUUUGUAAGUGUUGGCACCACUGUCCGCUGACGGACAGUGGUGCCAAGCAGUGUAGCUGUCUUCUGUAGACAUGGUAGAAGUCUCUGUAGAUGUCUCAUUCUUUUUGUAAUUUCAUUAUUUUGGUAUUGUGAAUUUUUUCUAUUUUGCAUUUGCUCUUAAUAAAAAAAAUGGUUGACCA